UCUGGCGUGGUCCCAUAACUU
ensembl:piRNA 21ur-4657 ncRNA